CCUACGGGAGGCAGCAGUAGGGAAUCUUCCGCAAUGGACGAAAGUCUGACGGAGCAACGCCGCGUGAACGAUGAAGGCCUUCGGGUCGUAAAGUUCUGUUGUUAGGGAAGAACAAGUGCUAGUUGAAUAAGCUGGCACCUUGACGGUACCUAACCAGAAAGCCACGGCUAACUACGUGCCAGCAGCCGCGGUAAUACGUAGGUGGCAAGCGUUGUCCGGAAUUAUUGGGCGUAAAGCGCGCGCAGGCGGUUUCUUAAGUCUGAUGUGAAAGCCCCCGGGCUCAACCGGGGAGGGUCAUUGGAAACUGGGAAACUUGAGUGCAGAAGAGGAAAGUGGAAUUCCAAGUGUAGCGGUGAAAUGCGUAGAGAUUUGGAGGAACACCAGUGGCGAAGGCGACUUUCUGGUCUGUAACUGACGCUGAGGCGCGAAAGCGUGGGGAGCAAACAGGAUUAGAUACCCUGGUAGUCCACGCUGUAAACGAUGAGUGCUAAGUGUUAGAGGGUUUCCGCCCUUUAGUGCUGAAGUUAACGCAUUAAGCACUCCGCCUGGGGAUACGGUCGCAAGACUGAAACUCAAAGGAUUGACGGNNGAGCGNGCGAGCGACGACGAGGGAGAGG
rnacentral:rRNA from 1 species